UUAUGGUUUUCAAAAGAUAAAUCACCGCAAAUCUUCAAUUCUACAAGCUCCGGAAGGAGGUUCGGCGCGUGGAUUUCGCGUGAAGCCGAGGAUUCGGUGGACGUCUCGAGGAGUUGAGGCGUUGACGCUGCGAGGAGUUGCAGCAAGGUCGAUUGGUGGAUUCCUAUCGAUCGAGGACCGGCAAAGAUCACCGUCAACNGAGGUUCGGCGCGUGGAUCUCGCGUGAAGCCGAGGAUUCGGUGGACGCUUCGAGGAGUUGAGGCGUUGACGCUGCGAGGAGUUGCAGCAAGGUCGAUUGGUGGAUUCCUAUCGAUCGAGGACCGGCAAAGAUCACCGUCAACAAGAAAUCGGUAAAUUGAGUCGUGUGUUUUUGGU
rnacentral:lncRNA from 1 species